CCAGGUUUGGAUGCUCCUUUUUCUGGGAAGAACUGCCCAUAUCUUCUUGCCAAGCACGAUGACCUUUUGUCUCCUGCAAACUCCCGCAUAGCAGCUUUCAAAAGCAAUUUGUUGGUGCACAGAAGGAAAUCUGGCAGGCUCUGAUUGUAUCCCUGCAGAAUCUAUUGGUUGAUCUUUGCGUUUCCUUCUUUCUGUUUUUCUUUUCAGGUCAAUGCUAGUGUUGCCCGUGGCUCUUCAGGAGGGGAGGCUGUGAACAAGGCUGCAGCAGAGGGAGCUUUGCCUGCUUGCGGGAGCUGUGUAAACAUUUGCCAGGAGCCCGAGGAGCUUGAUAUCCAUGUGAUCUACCUUGCCAGAAGGGCUGCCCUGCGUGGGAAGAAGGAUCAGAGGGAGAGCCUGUGACCAUCGGGCAGGUGGCAUCCCUCUGUUUAUAGAUAUAGUUAUAGAUUUUUUAUCUUGAUUUAUUUAUCGAUAUAGUUACAAGUAUAGAUAAAUAGAGUUGUAUUUAUAGGUGUUUCUAUUUAUCCAUCUGUAGAGUUUGUAUGUAUAGUUAUGGAUGUGAUAGGAUUUUAUUUCUAUGUAUACAGUUAGAUUUAUAGAUUUUCAAAU
rnacentral:lncRNA from 1 species